GAUGAACGCUGGCGGCGUGCCUAAUACAUGCAAGUCGAGCGAACGGACGAGAAGCUUGCUUCUCUGAUGUUAGCGGCGGACGGGUGAGUAACACGUGGAUAACCUACCUAUAAGACUGGGAUAACUUCGGGAAACCGGAGCUAAUACCGGAUGAUAUUUUGAACCGCAUGGUUCAAAAGUGAAAGACGGUCUUGCUGUCACUUAUAGAUGGAUCCGCGCUGCAUUAGCUAGUUGGUAAGGUAACGGCUUACCAAGGCAACGAUGCAUAGCCGACCUGAGAGGGUGAUCGGCCACACUGGAACUGAGACACGGUCCAGACUCCUACGGGAGGCAGCAGUAGGGAAUCUUCCGCAAUGGGCGAAAGCCUGACGGAGCAACGGCGCGUGAGUGAUGAAGGUCUUCGGAUCGUAAAACUCUGUUAUUAGGGAAGAACAUAUGUGUAAGUAACUGUGCACAUCUUGACGGUACCUAAUCAGAAAGCCACGGCUAACUACGU
rnacentral:rRNA from 1 species